GGGAGUGUGGCUCAGUGGUAGAGUACUUGCCUAGCACGCAUGAAACCCUGGGUUCGAUUCCUCUGUACCA
rnacentral:tRNA from 1 species